CCAGACUCCUACGGGAGGCAGCAGUGGGGGAUAUUGCACAAUGGGGGGAACCCUGAUGCAGCGACGCCGCGUGGGUGAAGGAGCACCUCGGUGCGUAAAGCCCUAUCGGCAGGGAAGAAACAGACGGUACCUGACUAAGAAGCCCCGGCUAACUACGUGCCAGCAGCCGCGGGAAUACGUAGGGGGCAAGCGUUAUCCGGAUUCACUGGGUGUAAAGGGAGCGUAGACGGCGACGCAAGUCUGGAGUGAAAGCCCGGGGCCCAACCCCGGGACUGCAUUUGGAACUGUAAGGCUAGAGUGUCGGAGAGGCAGGCGGAAUUCCUAGUGUAGCGGUGAAAUGCGUAGAUAUUAGGAGGAACACCAGUGGCGAAGGCGGUCUGCUGGACAGCAACUGACGCUGAGGCGCGAAAGCGUGGGGAGCAAACAGGAUUAGAUACCCGUGUA
rnacentral:rRNA from 1 species